rnacentral:rRNA from 1 species
AGCAGUGGGGAAUUUUGGACAAUGGGCGCAAGCCUGAUCCAGCAAUGCCGCGUGAGUGAAGAAGGCCUUCGGGUUGUAAAGCUCUUUUGUCAGGGAAGAAACGGUGAGGGCUAAUAUCCUUUGCUAAUGACGGUACCUGAAGAAUAAGCACCGGCUAACUACGUGCCAGCAGCCGCGGUAAUACGUAGGGUGCAAGCGUUAAUCGGAAUUACUGGGCGUAAAGCGUGCGCAGGCGGUUUUGUAAGUUUGUCGUGAAAGCCCCGGGCUCAACCUGGGAAUUGCGAUGAAGACUGCAAGGCUUGAAUCUGGCAGAGGGGGGUAGAAUUCCACGUGUAGCAGUGAAAUGCGUAGAGAUGUGGAGGAACACCGAUGGCGAAGGCAGCCCCCUGGGUCAAGAUUGACGCUCAUG